rnacentral:rRNA from 1 species
AGAGUUUGAUCCUGGCUCAGAUUGAACGCUGGCGGCAGGCCUAACACAUGCAAGUCGAGCGGUAGCACAGAGAGCUUGCUCUCGGGUGACGAGCGGCGGACGGGUGAGUAAUGUCUGGGAAACUGCCUGAUGGAGGGGGAUAACUACUGGAAACGGUAGCUAAUACCGCAUAAUGUCGCAAGACCAAAGUGGGGGACCUUCGGGCCUCAUGCCAUCAGAUGUGCCCAGAUGGGAUUAGCUAGUAGGUGGGGUAACGGCUCACCUAGGCGACGAUCCCUAGCUGGUCUGAGAGGAUGACCAGCCACACUGGAACUGAGACACGGUCCAGACUCCUACGGGAGGCAGCAGUGGGGAAUAUUGCACAAUGGGCGCAAGCCUGAUGCAGCCAUGCCGCGUGUGUGAAGAAGGCCUUCGGGUUGUAAAGCACUUUCAGCGGGGAGGAAGGCGUUAAGGUUAAUAACCUUGGCGAUUGACGUUACCCGCAGAAGAAGCACCGGCUAACUCCGUGCCAGCAGCCGC